rnacentral:rRNA from 1 species
UACAGAGGGUGCGAGCGUUAAUCGGAAUUACUGGGCGUAAAGCGUGCGUAGGCGGUUCGUUAAGUCAGCUGUGAAAGCCCCGGGCUCAACCUGGGAACUGCGGUUGAAACUGGCGAACUAGAAUCUGGCAGAGGGGGGUGGAAUUCCACGUGUAGCAGUGAAAUGCGUAGAGAUGUGGAGGAACACCGAUGGCGAAGGCAGCCCCCUGGGCCAAUACUGACGCUCAUGCACGAAAGCGUGGGGAGCAAACAGG